AGGCAGAAAGACCUUCUGAACAGAGACAUUGUAGCUGAGAACAGAGCGAAAGUGAGAAACUAAGCCGAGAACAGAGUGAAGUCUUCAACACAGUGGCUGCACCACCUCACAUGUUCAGAAUGGUUUCAAAUGCAAAGAGAUCCACCUGCCUCUGCCUCCCAUGCGCUGGGAUUGUGGUGUGAACCUCCCACCCUCAGCAUGGCCUGCCUCAAAGCAAAAAUCUUCCAAUUGUGAUGGGCCAAAGAUGUCCAGCUGUUCCAGCAUCACUUAUGAGACGAUUACCCUUCUGCUGCUGGCCUGCUUUUACAAGUCGUUCUCUCUGCUUCUUGCUUGCUGUUUAAGAUGUGAGACGGUUUCUGCUCCAGCCGCCAUGCCUGUCACCUGCAGCCACGAUGUCCCUGAUAUUAAGGACUUCUAACCCUCUGGAACUGUAAGCUAAAUAAACUCUUCUGUAAGUUGUCUUGGUCAUGGUGUUUUAUCACAGCAACAGAAAAGUAUCUAAUGAUUCUCUCAGGGAGGGGCGGGGCCUCCGGAGCUUAUCCCCCUGAAUCAGGGUUGAUCUUGUUCAGUUUAUCAUAGCAGAUUGGAGUUUUGAAUAUCCAUCUUGUACCCAGCACCCAAGCUCAUCUACAGUCACAGGAGCUUUUAUUUUCUGCUUUGUAGAUUUCUUUCAGUUUCCCGCAGACAAUUUUGUUUAUGCAAAUAAGGUCAGUUUGAUUUCUCAGCUUGCCAAACUGAGUGUCUUUGGUGGUUUGAAUGAGAUGUCCACCAUACUCUUGGAGGUUUGAACACUUGGUCCCCAGUUGGUAACACAGUUUGUGGAGGCUUAGAAGGCGUGGCCUUGCUAGAGGAAGUAUGACAUUGUUGGUGGGCUUUUCAAUUUCAAAAGCUAUUCACCAUUCCCAGUCCACUGUCUGCUUCCCGCUUAUGGUUUAAGAUGUGAACUCUUAGGUUUUGCUCCAGUCACCAUGCCUGUUCACUGCCACACUUCCCCACUAUGAGGGCCAUGGAUUUUUAUGGUCCUCAACCCACAGGUCAUGACCCCUCUGGGAGUCAAAUGACCCUUUCACAGGGGUCGCCUAAGACCACUGAGAGA